GAUGCUAAGACGGUUGCCCCACACACCCAGGGACA
rnacentral:tRNA from 1 species